CCUACGGGAGACAGCAGUGAGGAAUAUUGGUCAAUGGACGAGAGUCUGAACCAGCCAAGUAGCGUGAAGGAUGACUGCCCUAUGGGUUGUAAACUUCUUUUAUAUGGGAAUAAAAUGUUCCACGUGUGGGAUUUUGUAUGUACCAUAUGAAUAAGGAUCGGCUAACUCCGUGCCAGCAGCCGCGGUAAUACGGAGGAUCCGAGCGUUAUCCGGAUUUAUUGGGUUUAAAGGGAGCGUAGGUGGAUUGUUAAGUCAGUUGUGAAAGUUUGGGGCUCAACCGUAAAAUUGCAGUUGAAACUGGCAGUCGUGAGUACAGUAGAGGUGUGCGGAAUUCGUGGUGUAGCGGUGAAAUGCUUAGAUAUCACGAAGAACUCCGAUUGCGAAGGCAGCUCACUGGACUGCAACUGACACUGAGGCUCGAAAGUGUGGGUAUCAAACAGGAUUAGAUACCCCAGUAGUC
rnacentral:rRNA from 1 species